AUGAACGCUGGCGGCGUGCCUAAUACAUGCAAGUCGAGCGAACGGACGAGAAGCUUGCUUUUCUGAUGUUAGCGGCGGCCGGGUGAGUAACACGUGGAUAACCUACCUAUAAGACUGGGAUAACUUCGGGAAACCGGAGCUAAUACCGGAUAAUAUUUUGAACCGCAUGGUUCAAAAGUGAAAGACGGUCUUGCUGUCACUUAUAGAUGGAUCCGCGCUGCAUUAGCUAGUUGGUAAGGUAACGGCUUACCAAGGCAACGAUGCAUAGCCGACCUGAGAGGGUGAUCGGCCACCCUGGAACUGGGACACGGUCCCGACUCCUACGGGAGGCAGCAGUAGGGAAUCUUCCGCAAUGGGCGGAAGCCUGGCGGAGCAACGCCGCGUUAGUGAUGAAGGUCUUCGGAUCGGAAAACUCUGUUAUUAGGGAAGAACAUAUGUGUAAGUAACUGUGCACAUCUUGACGGUACCUAAUCAGAAAGCCACGGCUAACUACGUG
rnacentral:rRNA from 1 species